rnacentral:lncRNA from 1 species
UAAGCAUUUUUUUUCUUCAUCUUGUUCAUGUAAUAACCCUUGAGUGUCUUUUUUACUAUUAUCACUAUCUAAUGAAUAUUUUAGUUUUAGUUAUUCAAUUUCUUUUUUUCUCCUAUUUCAUCAUCAUCAUUUUUUUAUAGAUAGAGAAUAGAUGUCUCAUAAAAAAAUAUGCGUUAACUGCAUAACAAUUAAAAUUUUUUUUGUUAAGGAUUCUAUAGGCUUUACUAGAAAAAUAGUCUAGAAAGAUUUCUUUACUCGAAUCUAGCAU